UAUGGUGCUUUUUCCGGUGGUGUUCACCUCUUCCCAUACCGAACAGAGAAGUUAAGCCCUCCAUGGCCGAUGGUACUGCACAGAAAUGCGGGAGAGUAGGUAGGUGCCAUAU
rnacentral:rRNA from 1 species